CUUCUACUCCCUCCGUCCGAAAAUACUUGUCAUCAAAAUAGAUAAAAAGAGAUGUAUCUAGAACUAAAAUACGUCUAGAUCCAUCAUCUUUUAUCCAUUUUGAUGACAAGUAUUUCCGGACGGAGGGAGUAUAAA
rfam:Triticum aestivum genome assembly, contig: Triticum_aestivum_CS42_TGACv1_scaffold_408138_5BL